rnacentral:Y_RNA from 1 species
GGUUGGUCUGAGUGUAGUGGUGUUUACAACUAAUUGAUCAAAACCAGUUACAGAUUCCUUUGUUUCUUCUCCACUCCCACUGCUUCACUUGACCAGCCUUUA